rnacentral:rRNA from 1 species
UAGAGGAAGUAAAAGUCGUAACAAGGUUUCCGUAGGUGAACCUGCGGAAGGAUCAUUACCGAGUGAGGGCCCUUUGGGUCCAACCUCCCACCCGUGUUUAUUUACCUUGUUGCUUCGGCGGGCCCGCCUUAACUGGCCGCCGGGGGGCUUACGCCCCCGGGCCCGCGCCCGCCGAAGACACCCUCGAACUCUGUCUGAAGAUUGUAGUCUGAGUGAAAAUAUAAAUUAUUUAAAACUUUCAACAACGGAUCUCUUGGUUCCGGCAUCGAUGAAGAACGCAGCGAAAUGCGAUACGUAAUGUGAAUUGCAAAUUCAGUGAAUCAUCGAGUCUUUGAACGCACAUUGCGCCCCCUGGUAUUCCGGGGGGCAUGCCUGUCCGAGCGUCAUUGCUGCCCUCAAGCCCGGCUUGUGUGUUGGGCCCCGUCCUCCGAUUCCGGGGGACGGGCCCGAAAGGCAGCGGCGGCACCGCGUCCGGUCCUCGAGCGUAUGGGGCUUUGUCACCCGCUCUGUAGGCCCGGCCGGCGCUUGCCGAUCAACCCAAAUUUUUAUCCAGGUUGACCUCGGAUCAGGUAGGGAUACCCGCUGAACUUAAGCAUAUCAA